ACCUCCCACCCGUGUUUAUCGUACCUUGUUGCUUCGGCGGGCCCGCCGCAAGGCCGCCGGGGGGCAUCUGCCCUCUGGCCCGCGCCCGCCGAAGACACCAUUGAACGCUGUCUGAAGAUUGCAGUCUGAGCAAUUAGUUAAAUAACUUAAAACUUUCAACAACGGAUCUCUUGGUUCCGGCAUCGAUGAAGAACGCAGCGAAAUGCGAUACGUAAUGUGAAUUGCAGAAUUCAGUGAAUCAUCGAGUCUUUGAACGCACAUUGCGCCCCCUGGUAUUCCGGGGGGCAUGCCUGUCCGAGCGUCAUUGCUGCCCUCAAGCACGGCUUGUGUGUUGGGCUCCGUCCUCCUCCCGGGGGACGGGCCCGAAAGGCAGCGGCGGCACCGCGUCCGGUCCUCGAGCGUAUGGGGCUUCGUCACCCGCUCUGUAGGCCCGGCCGGCGCUUGCCGACACAUCAAUCUUUUUUCCAGGUUGACCUCGGAUCAGGUAGGGAUACCCGCUGAACUUAAGCAUAUCAAUAA
rnacentral:rRNA from 1 species